UUACUGAGUGCUUACUAUGUGCCAGGCA
rnacentral:piRNA from 4 species